ensembl:lncRNA
CUCUUUAUUGAGCUGCUAGUUGCUUACAUCUUUUAACGCCGGCCAGGCUGAGUGUUGAAUGCUGUUUUUCCCUUUUCACUCAGGAGUAAGGAUUGCAAAGGCUGCAGGCAGUGGAAGAUCAGGCAUGCAGCACGCACAUUUGACGCACCACCCAUUGCUGGGGUGUCUCCUUGAACGUGCUUUUUUCUACACCAUAGACUGGUAUUUUCUACAGAACGAACACAAAGAUCGUCUGGUGAAAUCCUUUCCUCCCAUUUACAGUUGCACACCGUCCAGGUCAGUUGUCUGAGGACACAACAGAUCCGAGUGUCCCACUGGAUAUGUACCAUCUUAAAGGCUCACUGUGAAAUCUGUUGAGCUGGGGAAGCUCAAUGAGUUCAUCUGGCACUCCUUCCUAACAGCCUGUCUGUCACUUGCUGGUGACCAAGAGAGCUUGGAAAUGCCAUCUGUGAGAGGGCUUAUGCCCCACCUUGGAUGGAAAGUGCUGAGCUUGUCCCUCCAUGAGAAGGUGUUCCCCAAGGACCUACUCUGAAAUCUGUAAUGCUAUGGACGCUAAAUUGGGUCAAAUGUUUGUGCUUCUUCCCAGUGUUUUAACUCACUGCCAUUUUCUUGCUUUUAGAGAAGCAGUUAGAAAAAAACUACCCCUUUUUUUAUGUGUGUGUGUGUAUGAGUGCUCUCCAAAGUAAUGGUGGUGGCACUGGUGUACUUACGUGGCACCAGAAAAUCAUGAUAAUCCUUUCAGUACAGGAUAAUUAUUUGGCUUUACUGCUGUAUCCCUUGUAGCUGGAUAUCCAUUUUCCUUUGCUAACAUAUGCUUGUCCUGUUCAAUAGCAAUUUGUUCUGAAAAUGCUUGCAUGCCUGCUGGGCAAGCUACAUGAAUCCAGUGCAGACUCCUUUUUUGCACCUAAAAAUUAUUAUGUGGAAAACCAUUUGCAAAAUGUGAGGCAUUCAGAAGGCUGCGUGCAGUUUUUCCAGGAGAAGCCGAGGGACAUUGGAAAAUCUAGACUUUAAUUUGUAGGGUACAAUAAAUUGUAGUCAGAUGAAUAAGUCCGUAUCUGCCUCAGCACAUUCUGGAUUACUUCGGUAUUACACAAACAAACUAAUUGCACAGCCUGCAGAAUAAUCACAUCUGUUCACCCGUAACAACACAGCUCAAUCUCGGUUUCAUGGCUUAAAAUAAUGCUCCUUGCUUUCAUAUGCUUCCUCAUAUUACCAGCUGCAAGUCUCUCUGAACCAGCAUGGCUCCUGAGGUAAUUGGUAGUAACACUUGUGUAUAAAGAUGUCAAAGCGCUGCUUGUUGGAGCUCAGCUUCAGGAAAGUGGAACUCUCUGCUUCGAUUCUUAGCUCUUUCACUAACUUGGCUAAGUCCAAAAAGGAAGGAAAACCAAACGAGAGCAGGUGGCACCACAGCCAGCCUGAGAGCCAACCUAAAGUAGUUUUUUUAAGGUAUUUUGAGAUCCUCGUGUUAGCAGCUCGUGCUUGUAAGGUGUGGGCAGAGCAGUGCUUGACAACGUGGGCAGGCUUGUCUGCAAGCAAGGGACUCCCACAUCAGAAAACGGAGGAUGUUUUGCUUUUAGUCUUCAUUGAGAUGGGAGGUGGGAAAUAAAUAAAGAGCUGAUACAGCAUCAGUAUGAGAAGCUUUUCUUGCUGGGUAGCUGACAGGUGCCCCAGAGGCUGGGCUGGAAGCACUGUUCCCAGGCACAGGUCUCAUCUGCUCAUUAGCAAUGACAGAAGCACCGAGCCGUGUCAUGCAGGGCAGUGUACCGGGCAGGGCCUCCUGCUCUGUAUGCUCAAACUUAACACUGCAUUGUCGUCCAGAGGACUCGGUGGAGGCGCAGCCAGCAGUCUCCUGGAGGGCUGUGGCUGUGGCUAUGAUGGUCGGCCUUGGGAUGACCAAAGAGACCAUCACUGCGUGUUCUCACGUUGCGCGGGUAGGAGCAGGACGAGUCAUUUCUUGAGGCUAGACAGGUGAGAGUGGCCAGGAUUUGUUUCCUAACGUCCGUCGUGCAGGUCAGAUGGGUCGGAACGCCUCCCCCAUCACGCUAAACCUCAUCUCGCCCAACCGAGACCUCAGUCCCACUCCCCCGCGUCCGGCCCUGCGGAGGUUCUCCGGCUGCCGCCGGUGCCACCCGCUCGGCCCCGGGCCGGCUGCGUGCCGUUGGCACCUCAGCGGGCAGGGCACCGCCGGCAGCCGCGCUUUGCUGACUGCUCCGUUUCAUUUCCUUACUUCGCAACUUGUAGCAGUAAGUUUCUGAAGAGAAACCCGUCUCCAAACCCAGCCACGCGCACCCGUCUGCGCGUCUGUUUUACACCCGAACGGCUCGGAGACGGCCCUCCUGCCCUGCCGCCCUGCCCCCGAGGCCGCGGGGUCCCGCCGAGCCCUUUGUCCCCGCGCCGCUCGGAUGGAUGCUGUCACGCUCGCGCGGCUGCCAUGAUCCCGCCCGGCGCGUCCCCGCACCACGCGGCCGUGCCGCACCUCGCGCUCCGCGAAGGCAAACGGCGCUUCCCUCGGC